GCAGUGGUAUUUCAGUGGGAGAAUUCUCACCUUCCAUGCUGGAGACCUGGGUUCGAUUCCCAGCCAAUGCA
rnacentral:tRNA from 1 species